GGGCCAGUAGCUCAGCUGGUUAGAGCGGCGGACUCAUAAUCCGUUGGUCCCAGGUUCAAGUCCUGGCUGGCCCACCA
rnacentral:tRNA from 1 species